CUCAUCGCGAUUCUUGGAAAGUAUCUUGCAAACGUGUUAAGGGAGAGCGAAAUUGAAAAGGGAAUAAUCCUUUAAGAUUCACACUCAUCUCACGAGAUUGCCCCGCAUUCAUAACAAAUCAGAUGAGCCAGUAACUCUAUCAACAGGAAAAGGGAACUAAAAAAAGAGAAAGGAAAAGAAAAGAACAAAAACAAGAGUAUUGACCAUUAUCGCGAGGUUCAUCCUAUAGAUGCAGACUAACUAAGCUGGAGGAUAUGAACACCUCCGCAAAAGCUUUCAGACUGGGCUGGGCAGCGGCGAGUGCUCAGAAGGCCGCGUACUUGAUGACCCUCCAGGCACGCUGUAACGGAAGGGCGAAGUGGUCGAGGUGCAAAAAGGGUCGGCAGAAGGUUAAUGAAAUGAUGUAUUUUAUUUUUAAACGGGACCAAUACUGACAAAAUUGUUAUUAUGACCAACCUUGCUUUCGAAACCCCGCUGAGACGACUUCCUGUUUGCGUUUCGAAACUUCUAUUUUUGGUUUGGAACGAAAGCAAAGGUUUGACUUGGGAAACUUUCAAGAUAGGCUUGGCAGUUGUCCACGGAUCAAGAUAUGAUAUAUGUCGUUCACAGUUUUUGUAGUCGAUUGUUGUAUCAGAUAAAAGAGAAGGAUAAUGAUUGCUUUGUGACUGACCUCAACAAAGAAACGGAAGUUCUUCCGAAAUCCUUACGAAAGUCAACCAUGAAACUUUUAAGAUAGGCUUGGCAAUUGUCCACGGGUCAAGAUAUGAUAUAUAUAUUGUUCACAGUUUUUGUUGUCGAUUGUUGUAUCAGAUAAAAGAGAAGGAUUAGAAUUACUUUGUGACUGGCUUUGACAAAGAAACGGAAGUUUCUCCAGAAUCCAAGUCAAUCAUCGAGCUUAAUUUUUGAUUGAAACUGACGAAACCUUUGGAAUAUUUAGAGAAUAUAUCAUAGGCUGAGGUUUUCGUGAGAACACAUUUCAUUUUGUCACUGGAAAAUAAAAUCACAUCACUUUUCAGUUUUUAUAAACGUCAAUUUAUCUUCCCUUAGUUGGCUGAUUUUCGGAUGUAGAUAGCAGACAUUUGGAAGUAGUCUUCGCCCAAGUAAAUACAGACCGCUCUUGUGAGUCGAAUAAUGAAGUUCAUUCAAAGCUGCCCACCCAUUCUCACCAUUUAUACCGUGUCACUGUCAGCUGCAGAUUUAGUCCGACAGUCGACUGACGGAAUCCCUUGAUCAUUAAAGUAAAUGAACCACAAAAGGAAACACAUUUCGUGAACGUUUAAGUAGUUAGUUCGGCUUUGCAGGAAGACCAAGACUUAACCUAAAGUUAUUCCCACACACCGAAAGGAAAUUGGAAUUGGAAUGUCUCGUUAGUGGUCUGUGGAAGAUCGUGGGAAGUCAUCACCUUGAGUGGCUCUCUCGUCCGUCUAAUGAACUUCCAACAGAUGUAAUGCAAAUCAUGUCGCAUAAUAAGGCGAACCGGUAGUUGGCGGCUUUUCGCGGUAUUGGUCUCUGUUUUGGCGAUGGCAAAAAAUAUCUGAAACAAUUAUUAUCCUUUCAAGUGCUUGAUAGACGUGGGUGAGAUUUAAAAGUGGUGGGUGAGGCUAUAAGUAUUGCCUUAAAUGCAUGGGAGAAAGUCUGUUCAAGCUCAUAAGCGGGUCAUGAGACCAAUGUGGAAUGUUGGAAGUUCCUAGCAGACUUAUCAGCCUUGACUUCUGACCUAGAAGAAAUAAAAUACAGCAACAGAUUGUGUCACAUUCAUAAUCGAAGGAUGAUAUCACCUGAAAUAUAAUCUAUAACUUUUUUUAAGUGGGUGAAGUGAAGGUAUGUUGGGGUGAAACCAAAUCAUACAGUCUGGUAACCUCGUGGGUUGCACUGUCACUGGAAUAUCAUCUGUACCUAAGCAGUUCAUUUAUAACAUGUGGGUUGCGGCGACUGAUAUUGGGCUGGGCGGCUGAAUUUCCCUACUGGCACAAUGUAU